UACGUAGGGCGCGAGCGUUUGUCCGGAAUUAUUGGGCGUAAAGAGCUCGUAGGCGGCCUGUUGCGUCCGCUGUGAAAUCCCAGGGCUCAACCCUGGGCGUGCAGUGGAUACGGGCAGGCUGGAGGCAGGCAGGGGAGAACGGAAUUCCCGGUGUAGCGGUGAAAUGCGCAGAUAUCAGGAGGGAACACCGGUGGGCGGAAGGCGGGUCUCUGGGCCGAGUAC
rnacentral:rRNA from 1 species